UGGAGUGUGGAGGGUAAUUAGUAUUCCAAUACGUCAUAAUUAUAUGCAAUGACGUCACGCGGGCAGGUUUAAACAAGGACAUGUGAAACUUGCUGACUACGCAUUUUUUAACCUUGAUUUGCUAUGAAUAGCUCGAGUCCCUCACAAGGCAGAAUUGUGAUCGAAAUUAAUAUAUAGCAGAGUUAUAGCCGUAUCUUUGCUCGGAAGCGAUAAAUUUCCACGACUAUAUUGAAGGAUUUUUCAUAUGUUCCAUAGCGAGGAAUCUAUUCGUUACAAAAAUCAAGACAUAUUUUAAACAGAACUAAACAGUUGCUUAUCCCGGGUUGCCAGCGUCGUUGUUAAGGUUAAUAUUAUUAAUAUAUAGCAGAGUUAUAGCCGUAUCUUUGCUCAGAAGCGAUAAAUUUCCACGAGUAUAUUGAAGGAUUUUUCAUAUGUUCCAUAGCGAGGAAACUAUUCGUUACAAAAAUCAAGACAUAUUUUAAACAGAACUAAACAGUUGCUAAUCCCGGGUUGCGAGCGUCGUUGUUAAGGUCAAUAUUUGCAUGUUGUUCAACGUUAUUUAGCAAGUCUUCUGCAUACAUAUAUACUGUUAAGAUGACCGAGUCAGAUCAUAAGUAAGCUUAUGAAGAAUAUAAGUUAGAAUUGGAACAGUUGUAAUAUAUUUUGCGAUAAAAACAUGUACUCGUUAUAUACGUUGCUUUGUGCUAAGUCAUUAGGAGGUGUAGGUAAUUAAGGGGAUUACGGCAAUACGAAUUUGCAUGACUAAGUGUACCCCAAUGGAUAGAUAGGGAUUAUUU